AGUGAACGCUGGCGGUAGGCCUAACACAUGCAAGUCGAGCGGCAGCACAGUAAGAGCUUGCUCUUACGGGUGGCGAGUGGCGGACGGGUGAGGAAUACAUCGGAAUCUACUUUUUCGUGGGGGAUAACGUAGGGAAACUUACGCUAAUACCGCAUACGACCUACGGGUGAAAGCAGGGGAUCUUCGGACCUUGCGCGAUUGAAUGAGCCGAUGUCGGAUUAGCUAGUUGGCGGGGUAAAGGCCCACCAAGGCGACGAUCCGUAGCUGGUCUGAGAGGAUGAUCAGCCACACUGGAACUGAGACACGGUCCAGACUCCUACGGGAGGCAGCAGUGGGGAAUAUUGGACAAUGGGCGCAAGCCUGAUCCAGCCAUACCGCGUGGGUGAAGAAGGCCUUCGGGUUGUAAAGCCCUUUUGUUGGGAAAGAAAAGCAGCAGGUUAAUACCCCGCUGUUCUGACGGUACCCAAAGAAUAAGCACCGGCUGACUUCGUG
rnacentral:rRNA from 1 species